UUGUCUACCAUAUGUACAACCAGCAACCGGAUUACCCGCAACAGCUUUAUGAUAAGUGUCGCCAAGUGAUUGAAGAUUAUAUUAUACAAACGGUGGGUAGCAAAAAUAUAUUCUUCUUAGCUUUUAUAAACUUACGCAAACAAAAACAGUUAAUACUUGUUUUAUGUGUGGUUUAGGUGUUGUUAUCCUUAAGGGAGAAGCAUGGUGAAGAUAUGCUAAGAGAACUUGUUAUGAGAUGGAAGAACCAUAAAACUCUGGUCAAAAAGCUACGCAUGUUCUUCUGUUAUAUGGAAUCACGUUUUAUUCCAUCACUGAGUGAAGUUGGUUUGACACGUUUUCGUGACCUGGUUUAUGGUGAGAUGCAGUCCACGGCAACAGAAGUUGUACUAGCACUUAUUCAUAAAGAACGCGACGGCUAAGAGAUUGAUAGGGAAGUAGUGGAAACCGUAUUAGAAGUCUAUGUGGAGAAUGGGAUGGGAACUAAGGAGAGAUAUGAAGAGGAUUUUGAAAGAGUCAUGCUUCAAGAGACUGUAUCUUACUAUUCUCCCAAGGCAUCAAUGUGGAUGAAGGAGUAUUCUAGUUCUGAUUAUUUGCUAAA